rnacentral:lncRNA from 1 species
GCCGCUGCGCAUCUCGCGCUCUCCGCUGGGCGCUCGCGGGGGCGGCGAGGCGGUUGUGCGGGCCCCCGGGAGGGAGGCGGACACGCGAGAAGAACGGCAAAUGACAGAGCGGAGGGAAGGCUGGCCCAGCCAAUCCUGGAGCCGCUGCAGCACUGGUUCCCCAAACAAACACAUUCUGGUGCAAGGACAGAGAGGAGGGGGCUGCUGGCCCACACCCCUCCCCUGCCGGUAGCCCCCUGGCCGCUCCCCUGUGGGGAGGGCAGCUGGACAGAGGCUGCCCUGGGCCGGGCUGGUGAUGGUGCUGCGGCCCCUCCCUGCUGCCCAGCGUGGGAGGAAGAAGGCAGAGCCAGGUGCCUCCAUGCAGCUUGUCUCCAGCCACUCCAGAUGAAAGUGCUCUCGACAAGGGCAGCAGUGACUUCCUUGCAACUCAAUCUUGUGGCCUCUUCUGGGUCCCCAUCAUAGCAGCUUCACAGUAUUUGGCACAGCGGGUUAUGCCCAUUUCCUUGAAGUGCUGCCUUCUCUGGGCUCUCGUCCUCACAGUAGCCAGAGGAUCCCAUGAGACAUACGUCACUUCCUGCCUGCCAUGCUCAGAACCCUGCUGCGGCUUCUUUCCACUCUCCAUGAAAGCUGGGGUCCUCGGAGUGACCCCAGGACCCUGGAGCUUAUCAACGCUGUCCAGUAGAAACACGAAGAGUCACACAGGGGUACCAUGUAUGCAGUUCAACAUUUUUCUGCUAAAUUUAAAGGGAAAAGGAAAUACGUGCAAUUAAUUUUAUUACCUGAACCCAGGACGUCAGAAUUAUCUUCAUUUCUGACGUAUAUUCCGUGGGGUUUUGGUAGUGAGUCACCCCCGUAGCACAGCCCAGUUUGGAUCGGCCACGUUUCAUGGGCUCCAUGGCCUCGUGUGCCUGGUGGCCGCCGUGUUGAAAUGAACGGCAGGCCUGUGGAUUCUGUGGCCCCCGGGGGCCUCUGUGUCCUUCCCUUCUUCCACUUUGCUCUGGUUUCCUUGCUGUUCCUCAAGUAAACUAGGCAGUUCCUGUAUCAGAGUCUUCACACCUCCUGUUCCCUCCGCUUGGACUGCGUUUCCCAGCUGGCCCUGACCAGACUCUCAAGUGCUACCUUCCCAGUGCCCCACCCCCCCUGCGCACUUGGUUGCAUUUCCUGCGUCUCUUCCCUGCCCUGUUUUCGUCCGUCUGUAGCACUGUCAGCACUUCGCAUGCUC